ACCUCAGGGAGCUCCAUGGAGAAGCUGGGAACUACAGAAGUCUGGAGAGACAGCAGCCACAUCAUAGCAAGGACGUGAGCUGAAGCAUGGACCAUGUGACUCUUCUUUUUACCUGGAGAAAAAUAUGUGCUGUGUUAUAUAGGACAACGCACCAGACCAUCUGCGCUCCCUUCUUCAAAUCCUGGUUCUGCCCAUGCUCACAAAUACUUAUAAGUAGAGGUCAGAAAGAGGAUGCUAUGUAGAUGUCAACCCAGAUUAGGAGGAAGGCAAGAACCAAGAUGGGAACUCCAACCCAGAUGUGUACAUUUUUACAGCCAGUUGCUUCUUGGGAACUGAGACAGCCAACGCCAGGUGCAGUCCCUGCAAGUGAACAGUGGUAAGGACUAGGAAACAAACUCUAGACCACUGUAUCCUUACCACUGUAAGUGAGGAUAACGCAUUUAGCUUCUGUACCACAUUUCCACAUGCAAACUAAUGGAACACAUGGGAAGGAAUCUCUAAAGAAACCUCACCAGGACUUUAACAACAUCCACUCCUCCCUUACACUAACUCUGGAAUAUUUCACCCAUCAAAUUAAUUUCUUAGACACUACAGUGAAGGUUUGCAAUGUUCAUACUGCCAUCAUGUUGUAUCAGAAACCAACCAACCACCAAAGGUACCUUCACGUCCCUGGCUUUCAACCUAAGGACACCGUUAGAUCCAUCGUUUACAGUUAAGCUCUAUGUUACAACCGGAUCUGCUCUGAUCCCACUGAUUAGGAUGUACACUUCAAGGAUCUGGAGCAGGGAUUCCUACAAUUACAAUACAAUUCCAGAACUGUAUCUAUUCAAAUCAACAAAGACAAACUCAGACAUCACUCUAACCUGCUACAAAAAAAAUCCCUGGGACAAGGACAACAGAAUACCUUUGGUUGUCAUCUACAGCCCCAAGCUUGAACACCUUAAUCACUAAUGACAUCCAACGCUUCCUGGAAAAGGAUGACUUUCUCAAGGUAGCCAUGGGGGACAAACCUAUCCUAGUUUACAGACAGUACACCCAACUUCAAACCAUGUCUAUCAGGCCACAGACUAACUAACUCCCAUCAUCACCAAGGCACCAGGCCUUGCGAUGGACCCAAAUGCCAGCUAUGCCUUCACAUUAAUACACACCACAUAAUCACUGGAUCAAAUAACAAGGAAUAUAACAUAUGCUCCAGCAAGAACUACAUCACUUCAAUCUUUACAUUUCUACUUGGACAGUUUCUUUAAACCAGUUCCUAAAAAAUCAUGGUAAUUCACCUGCAACUCUACCAAUGCCAUAUAUGCCAUCACCUGCAUACAGUGUACUGCUGCUGUCUACAUCAGACAGAAGGAGAAAUUUCUACAUGUAAAAAUGAAUGAACGCUGAUUUGACAUUGGCUGCAGAAAGACAUGAAGGCCUGUGGCAGAAUGCUCCAUCACUGACCUCAGGAUCACUGUUUUCAGGCAGCAAAAUUUUUUAAACCAAUUUGAAUGGGAAAUAGCAUAAAAAAAUCAUCCACAGAUUGGAUUGUGUGUGGU